GGGCCUUAGCUCAGCUGGUUAGAGCGCAUGCUUGAUAAGCAUGAGGUCAGUGGUUCGAGUCCGCUUAGACCCACCA
rnacentral:tRNA from 1 species